rnacentral:rRNA from 1 species
GACGAACGCUGGCGGCGUGCCUAAUACAUGCAAGUAGAACGCUGAAGGGGGAGCUUGCUUCUCUGGAUGAGUUGCGAACGGGUGAGUAACGCGUAGGUAACCUGCCUGGUAGCGGGGGAUAACUAUUGGAAACGAUAGCUAAUACCGCAUAAUAGUAGAUGUUGCAUGACAUUUGCUUAAAAGGUGCAAUUGCAUCACUACCAGAUGGACCUGCGUUGUAUUAGCUAGUUGGUGGGGUAACGGCUCACCAAGGCGACGAUACAUAGCCGACCUGAGAGGGUGAUCGGCCACACUGGGACUGAGACACGGCCCAGACUCCUACGGGAGGCAGCAGUAGGGAAUCUUCGGCAAUGGACGGAAGUCUGACCGAGCAACGCCGCGUGAGUGAAGAAGGGUUUCGGAUCGUAAAGCUCUGUUGUAAGAGAAGAACGAGUGUGAGAGUGGAAAGUUCACACUGUGACGGUAUCUUACCAGAAAGGGACGGCUAACUACGUG